rnacentral:lncRNA from 1 species
UGAUAUUCAAAUUGAAUAAUAAUCUCAGGAAGUAUACAAUAGGACAAUUAUUGUAUAACUGAAUCAUGCUUUGAAAAGAUAAUCAAUCUUUAAUAUAACAUUUGAACAUGAAUAAUAAUAAUGAUAAUUUACUCGAGGUAAUUAAUAAACUUGAACAAUAAUGACAAGUAGGGUUAGGAAACUUGCCUCGUGCGUAGGCUAAACGAUUACUACUUCCGUUCACCACAAAUCCUACACACAUACCAUAUGUAUUCACGACAUUCAUUAGUUACAUUUUCACUUAAUUAUUUAAUAUAAACUCCAC